rnacentral:rRNA from 1 species
GGCUAACGCUGGCGGCGUGUCUUAGCCAUGCAAGUCGAGCGGACUUAUGGGGUAACUUAUAAGUCAGCGGCGGACGGCGGAGUAACACGUAGCUAACCUACCCUCUGGACGGGGAUAACCUACCGAAAGGUGGGCUAAUACCCGAUGUAGUCAUCCUGUAUAGGGGUGAUGAAAGGUGGGCUUCUGUUUACAAGCUCAUGCUGGAGGAGGGGGCUGCGGCCAAUCAGGUAGUUGGUAGGGUAAUAGCCUACCAAGCCGAUGACGGGUAGCCGGCCUGAGAGGGUGACCGGCCCGAGGGGCACUGAGAUACGGGUCCCACUCCUACGGGAGGCAGCAGGCUAGAAAUUUGGGCAAUGGGGGAAACCCUGACCCAGUGACGCCGCGUGCAGGAAGGAGCCCUUCGGGGUGUAAACUGCUGUCGUGUAGGGAGAAGGGUACUAAGGUGAACAAUCUUAGUACUUGACGGUACUACAGGAGGAAGCCCAGGCUAACCUCGUGCCAGCAGCGCGGUAAUGCUACGUAGA